CCCCUAGAUGUUCUGGGCCGCACGCGCGCUACACUGAACAGUUCAACAAGUCUUAACCUUGGCCGAUAGGUCUGGGUAAUCUUUGAACGCUGUUCGUGAUUGGGAUAGACCUUUGCAAUUAUGGGUCUUCAACGAGGAAUUCCUAGUAAACGCAAGUCAUCAACUUGCAUUGAUUACGUCCCUGCCCUUUGUACACACCGCCCGUCGCACCUACCGAUUGAAUGGUCCGGUGAAGCCUCCGGAUUGGCGCGCACCCCGGUGCCGCCGAGAAGUUGGCUAAACCUUACCAUUUAGAGGAAGGUGAAGUCGUANCA
rnacentral:rRNA from 1 species